CAAUAGCGUAUAUUAAAGUUGUUGCGGUUAAGAAGCUCGUAGUUGGAGUUCUGCCAGGUGCCGCCUGUCCGCCCCAGUGGUGAGUACGUGGCGCGCAUUUGGCCCUUUCAAGGGGAGCGUAUCUGCACUUUAUUGUGUGGUGCGGGAUCCUUGACUUUUACUUUGAGGAAAUAGGAGUGUUCCAAGCAGGCUCUCGUCGUGCACAGCUCAGCAUGGAAUAAUAGCAUUGGACCUCGAUUCUAAGCUGUUGGUUGCCAGAAGCGAGGUAAUGAUGAAGAGGGAUAGUUGGGGGCAUUCGUAUUUAACUGUCAGAGGUGAAAUUCUUGGAUUUGUUAAAGACGGACUGCUGCGAAAGCAUCUGCCAUGGAUGUUUUCAUUGA
rnacentral:rRNA from 1 species